rnacentral:rRNA from 1 species
GACGAACGCUGGCGGCGGGCCUAAUACAUGCAAGUAGAACGCUGAAGGAGGAGCUUGCUUCUCUGGAUGAGUUGCGAACGGGUGAGUAACGCGUAGGUAACCUGCCUGGUAGCGGGGGAUAACUAUUGGAAAGGAUAGCUAAUACCGCAUAAGAGUAGAUGUUGCAUGACAUUUGCUUAAAAGGUGCAAUUCAAUCACUACCAGAUGGACCUGCGUUGUAUUAGCUAGUUGGUGAGGUAACGGCUCAACAAGGCGACGAUACAUAGCCGACCCGAGAGGGGGAUCGGCCACACUGGGACUGAGACACGGCCCAGAAUCCUAAGGGAGGGAGCAGUAGGGAAUCUUCGGCAAUGGACGGAAGUCUGACCGAGCAACGCCGCGGGAGGGAAGAAGGUUUUCGGAUCGUAAAGCUCUGUUGUAAGAGAAGAACGAGUGUGAGAGUGGAAAGUUCACACUGUGACGGUAUCUUACCAGAAAGGGACGGCUAACUACGUG